GGCGCUCAUUGAUGUGAGGGAACUAUUCGUGAGAAAAACUGCGCUGUCAUUGCUUCGUCCCAGUAUUCGAGCAUAUUUUUGAAUGCUUGAGCAGUGUUCUUGUCAUGUUGCACAAGUUGGUACAAUGAAUUCUGUACUGUGAUCCAAUCGUAUUUAUUCCGUAACUGAAGGUAAAGUCUUUUUGUUAAGCCCCCUGUUCAUGAUGAGGCGGUUGUGUGGGCUGAACCAUUCAUAGAGCUGGUUUUUUACUUGGUCUUUAUGUAUGAUGAACUUUGUGAAGAUUUUCUUUGAUCUUGCCGCGAUUGUAAUGGUUGCAUAGUUGUGUCCUAAUUGAGAUCUUUCAUCUACAUGUAAUUUCUCGGUUAUUCUCAUUUUGUGGAUUUCUUUUGUGUUCAUUGACCUCUUUUUUUCGGGGGAGAUGCACACUUCGCAUUCUUGGUUUUUAAAGGGCUGAAUUCCAGGCAUUUUGUGCUUUAGCUGUUUGUAAUUAGGAUGUCCGUAUUUACAAUGCUUAAGAGGCUGAAUUUCGUGCUUUCCAAGCCUGCCGGUUUUCUUUUGGUCAUUAGUUAGUGGUUGAUUACAUACGCUGACGGAAUGUUUGUAUUGAGGUCGGUUCUCAUCGCCUUUUUCGCUUUGGUGUCUCCAGUUCUAAGCUUGAUUUUGACUGUUUGGUGCCUGAAGGUAGUUGUGAAGCCGCCUUCGUUAAAUUUGCCACUGGCAAGAGGUUUUGCUUGAAGUUUAUAUCAUAUAUAGCUUUACCUUGGUCCAAUGCUGCUAAACUCCAGUCCUUUUCGUCGCUUAAUUUUGGAUUAUGUACGGGUAGGCGGAUUUAUCUAAAAUCAUAAUGAGAAGAUAGCUAGCCUUACAUCAGUUUGAAGAAGUGCUGUGGUUUCUUUGGGCUCUAGCUUGAAUUUUGCAAGCCACUUCCUUGUUCCCGAUUUCAUGA